rnacentral:rRNA from 1 species
GACGAAGGGGGCUAGCGUUGUUCGGAAUUACUGGGCGUAAAGCGAGUGUAGGUGGUUGUCGUAGAUCCAGGUGUGAAAGCCUUGAGCUCAACUCAAGAAAUGCACUUGAUACUGGGCAGGCUAGAGGACCGGGAGAGGAUAGUGGAAUUCCCAGUGUAGUGGUAGAAAUACGUAGAGAUGAUGGACGGAAGCACCGAUGGCGAAGGCAGCCUUCUGGGCCAACACAUGACGCUCGGAUGACACGGAAAGCCGUGGGGAGCAAACAGG